AGACAUUGAAAUGUCUGAGGAGA
rnacentral:siRNA from 1 species